AGAUCCCAAGGAGACAGACUCAAGGGCAAUUCCUAGCCCCAUGAGCAAAGGCAGAGAUGCCCGUAACCUGUUCAGUAAGCCGUCUACACAGGCGCCGUGACGACUCCAGCGUAGCUCUCCUCCCUCCAUCCUCCUUCCCAGCUGAAGCGUUUGCUCGGAAGUAAGAAGCUUUUCCCCGCUUUUGGGAAUUCUUUGAAGACAUUUGUCUGGUCCUACUGCACUGAUACAACAUUAGAAAGAGGGAGAGAGAGAAUGGGCAUGCCAGGGCCUCCAGCCACUGCAAACGAACUC